rnacentral:rRNA from 1 species
GAUGAACGCUGGCGGCGUGCCUAAUACAUGCAAGUCGAGCGAACAGACGAGGAGCUUGCUCCUCUGACGUUAGCGGCGGACGGGUGGGUAACACGUGGAUAACCUACCUAUAAGACUGGGAUAACUUUGGGAAACCGGAGCUAAUACCGGAUAAUAUAUUGAACCGCAUGGUUCAAUAGUGAAAGACGGUUUUGCUGUCACUUAUAGAUGGAUCCGCGCCGCAUUAGCUAGUUGGUAAGGUAACGGCUUACCAAGGCGACGAUGCGUAGCCGACCUGAGAGGGUGAUCGGCCACACUGGAACUGAGACACGGUCCAGACUCCUACGGGAGGCAGCAGUAGGGAAUCUUCCGCAAUGGGCGAAAGCCUGACGGAGCAACGCCGCGUGAGUGAUGAAGGUCUUCGGAUCGUAAAACUCUGUUAUUAGGGAAGAACAAAUGUGUAAGUAACUAUGCACGUCUUGACGGUACCUAAUCAGAAAGCCACGGCUAACUACGUG